rnacentral:rRNA from 1 species
CCCCCCCUCGAGGUCCUGUACCGGAAGGAGCAGUGGAGGGAUAAGAAGAGAGAAUGCCGGAAUGAGUAGCGAGAGAAAGGUGGGAAUCCUUUCGGCCGAAUAUCUAAGGUUUCCAGAGUAAAGCUGAUCUGCUCUGGGUAAGUCGGGGCCUAAGCACAGGUCGCAAGACGUAAGCGAUGGAUAACAGGUUUAGAUUCCUGUACCACGCAUUAUCAGAACUGUAGGGACGCAUGUGGAAAGCACGAGCCGGGAAUGGAAAGACCGGUACAAGCGGGGUAGGAGUACAAUAGGCAAAUCCGUUGUAUGAUCCGAAGACGUGAUGUGGAGCGAAAUAAAGUAGUGAAGCGUGUGAGCCAUGUGCCGAGAAAAGCUGCUAUUGUGUAAUGCGUGCCCGUACCGUAAACCGACACAGGUGGAUGAGGAGAGAAUCCUAAGGCCGACGGAAGAAGCAUUGUUAAGGAAUUCGGCAAAAUGACCCCGUAACUUCGGGAGAAGGGGUGCCUGCGAGAGCAGGCCGCAGAGAAUAGGCUCAAGCAACUGUUUAGCAAAAACACAGGUCUAUGCGAAACCGAAAGGUGAAGUAUAUGGGCUGACGCCUGCCCGGUGCUGGAAGGUUAAGAGGAGAGGUUAGCGAAAGCGAAGCUUUGAAUUUAAGCCCCAGUAAACGGCGGCCGUAACUAUAACGGUCCUAAGGUAGCGAAAUUCCUUGUCGGGUAAGUUCCGACCCGCACGAAAGGCGUAAUGAUUUGAGCGCUGUCUCGACAAUGCAUCCGGUGAAAUUGAAGUACCAGUGAAGAUGCUGGUUACCCGCGCCAGGACGGAAAGACCCCAUGGAGCUUUACUCCAGUUUGAUACUGGGAUUCGGUACUGCAUGUACAGGAUAGGUGGGAGACGAAGAAGGAUGGACGCCAGUCUGUCCGGAGUCGCUGUUGGGAUACCACCCCUGUAGUACUGGGUUUCUAACCAGUUACCAUGAUCUGGUAAUGGGACAAUGUCAGGCGGGGAGUUUGACUGGGGCGGUCGCCUCCGAAAGGGUAUCGGAGGCGCUCAAAGGUUCCCUCAGAAUGGUUGGAAACCAUUUGAAGGACGGUAUCGAUAAGCUUGAU